rnacentral:rRNA from 1 species
GUGGGGAAUAUUGCGCAAUGGGGGAAACCCUGACGCAGCAACGCCGCGUGGAGGAAGAAGGUCUUCGGAUUGUAAACUCCUGUCUUUUGGGACGAAGAAUGACGGUACCAAAGGAGGAAGCCACGGCUAACUACGUGCCAGCAGCCGCGGUAAUACGUAGGUGGCGAGCGUUGUCCGGAAUUAUUGGGCGUAAAGGGCGCGUAGGCGGCAGCCUAAGUCAGAUGUGAAACCCCGGGGCUUAACUUCGGGCAUGCAUUUGAAACUGGGCAGCUAGAGUGCAGGAGAGGUAAGUGGAAUUCCUAGUGUAGCGGUGAAAUGCGUAGAUAUUAGGAGGAACACCAGUGGCGAAGGCGACUUACUGGACUGUAACUGACGCUGAGGCGCGAAAGCGUGGGGAGCAAACAGGAUUAGAAACCCUGGUAGUCC